UGUAAAUCUUGUGGUAUCCACCCCAUUUCAAGACUUGAAGAGGUCUCAGAUAGAAGCAAAGUUGCACACAGAUUUCAUGGCGGCCAAGACACUCAAGCAAUACCAGCAGCGCCUUCACGAGGAGCACGCGAAGAGUGUUCUUGCCAUCAGAGUCAUCGAGGAGGCGAAAGAAGAUGAGCAACUUGAGGCGGAGCUAGAAGUGGGAAUCGAGUCAUCCUCUGCACACCAAGGUAAAUCUUCGAUCAUUUUCCACUAUGCUAGGCACAUAAGGGAGGGAACUAGUCCCGACCAUAUCUUAGUCUCUCCCUCCCUUCUCGAGUGUGGCCAAGUUUCGGAGUGUUGCUGGUCUGCGGAAGAGUAUGAAGAUUACCAGCUUCACAACCCGAAGAGAAAAAGGCACCUUCCCAGCUUCAUACCCCUUGACGAAUCGACGGCCAUGUAUGCAUCUUGGUUUUGUCAGUACGAGACCAAUUUGACAUAAGAGAUGUGUCGUCUCAAAUAUGACAUUGCUAGAACCCUCCUCCAUCCUGAGAAGCCUGAUCGUGGGGGCGAGGGGUCGCGAGGAGUUUUACCUUUCUUUUUAUGCAUGUAUUACCCUAUUAUGGUUUUCUUUUCAUUUUUCAUGACUAACCAGGGUGUUUCCUUUACACAGAUAGCAUGGGCCUUUCAGAUUUGGUGCACUCGAAGCGUCAAAGGGUGUCAAGCCCUUCCGAGAUCGACCUCCCGAUGGCUCCGACACCCGUGCCACCGCCCCCUCUGUCUGUUCCGACAUCAUCAUCCGCUACUCCAAUGGCCCCUACCUCGAGCACAGCAGACACCGGCAAGGUCAUAGACCUUGAGGUCUCCUCGAGAUGUGGGGUUCUCCGGGAAAGGCAAGGAAAUUCCUCUCAAUCCUCCUCAAGCCAAGGAUCCCCAUAUGGUUAUCUGUCCGGAGUAUUACGAUGACAACAGAUCGGGUCUACACAGGGAGGUCAUUGAGUACUACAAUGCUUGCAUCGGCGAAGGUAACGAGAGUGUCUGACUAUUGACCGAGUUUCUGUGCGAGGACUGGUCGAAAGAACUUGUCUCUGCACCUCGCCGCGUAGAACUUGAACCUUUCUUCGUGGGGAGAAUAGGAGAGAGGGCCAUACCUCUCGACACAUAACUCUUGCAACAACUAACGGCAUCCUUGUGCGAGAUGACCGCAGGCAGCUUCGCACGUUGCGGUGGUGAAAACGAGGUGGCAUUGAUCGCAACUAGCCGUCACACUGCCUCUAGGGGGGUAAGUCUUGGAUUUUGUUUAAGCUUGAUGAAUGUCUUGUCUUUUCGGCUGAUUCAUCGUUCUGAAUUUACAGGUUGCUGGUUUAAACCAACGACUUGGGGAACUGGUGCUGACGCAGACUCUUGAGUUGAAGAAGACUCGGGAGGAGUUGGCUCGCGUCUAGGUGGAGCUUGCUCAAACCAAAGAGACUACAGUUCCUCUGGAGGAACAUUCACGACUUUAGAAAGAGGUGGAGGACACCAGGGGCCGCGUUCGAGAGGUGGAGGAUCAACUGGUCAUGGAGAGGUCAAAGCUGUUCGCCUUGGAGGAGACAUCCGCCAAGUUAUUGGAAGAUGCCGCGAUCCGGACAUGGAUCGUGGAAGAGGAACUGGCCCGGGUCCGUGAGGAGUUUUGAAUAAGCCAGAUGGAACUUUAAACCCAUGUUGGUGAGCUAGAAAAGACAAAUGGGGACUUGACCUCGACGUGAUGGCUGAGGACAUGCUCUUUAUCGCGUGGCAGAGCAACAAGGACAUGGACCUCUCCUUCACAGAGGAUCAUGAUAUGAGGACCAAACUUGAAGCACGUCUCGAGGUGGACAUUGCUUGCGAGACUCAAGAGAGAGAGGCCUCGGCAGUGGGCCCGACUCCCAAAGACAACCCAGUGGUCGAGCUAGUGACAGAGGUGCCAUCAAGCGAAGGCCCCCAAUUGACUGCCUUCUCAAGAGACUCCUCGGGGCAGAAUCUAGGUAUCCGCUGAUGGAGAAGUUAACCUUUUGUUUGAUGGUUGCCUCUCGGAAGCUAAGACCCUACUUCCAGACGCAUCCAAUUAAGGUUCUCACAAACCACCCACUCAGACAAGUCCUUCAGAAGCCUGAGUCGUUGGGAAGGCUCUUGAAGUGGUCGAUGGAGUUAAGUCAGUUUGACAUCACCUACCACCCAAGGACUACCAUAAAAGGUCAAGGACUCACCGAUUUCAUCACCGAGUGCACUGGGAGUCAGGAGAGAAUCGAGUGCACCCCAGUGGUCAGACAACAUGGAAGUUAUUUGUGGAUGGGUCUUCGAACGAGAAUGGCGACAGGGCGGGAUUUAUUUUGGUUUUCCCCAAGGGGCAUAAGGUGCAUAGUGUUCUCUGCUUCGGGUUUAGCGCCUCUAAAGACAAAGCGGAGUACGAAACCUUAAUCAUUGGGCUUCGCGUGGCACUAGAGCUCAAGGCCAAAGGACUCAAGAUCUUCAACGACUCCCAACUAGUGGUGAACCACGUUCUCGGAGAAUACCAGGCACGGGGAACAAAGAUGGCAACAUAUUUGGCAAAGGCUCAAGAAAUUCUACACAACUUCUGAAGUUUCACUAUUUGGCAAGUGUCGCAGGAGCGAAAUUCUAAUGCGGAUGCCCUAGCAAAGUUGGCCACGACGAAAGACGCAAAAUCAAUCAAUGUGGUCCCCAAUGACUACUUGGAGUCUCCGAGUAUCUCGGCUCCUGACAAGGUGGAAUCAGUACAAUCCCCAAAUGGGUGGAUGGAGCCAAUAGUUAAAUACCUCGUCUCCGGGGAGUUGCCCCAAGACAAAAAGGUAGCUCGGAAGUUGCUGUACCAAGUACGGAGGUACAUAAUUAUGGAUAACAGGCUUUAUAUACGAGGCUAUUCUUUGCCCUUGGUUCGGUGUGUGUCCAAUCAAGAAGCCAGUUUAAUAUUGCAAGAGGUACAUGAAGGUUUCUGCGAAGAUCAUGCCGGGGGGCAGAGCCUUUCCAAGAAGAUCUUAAGACAAGGGUAUUUCUGGCCCACCAUGAAUGGAGACGCGAUGGAUUACAUCAAGAAAUGCGACAAAUGCCAACGCUUCACCAACAUCCCCCGAGCGCCUCCAAAUGAGCUUACUCAAAUGACCAGCCUAUGGCCUUUUGCUGUUUGGGACAUCGACCUUAUCGGGUCCUUGCCUACAGGGAAAGGAGGGGUGAAAUACGCCAUAGUGGCCGUUGAAUACUUCACAAAGUGGGUUGAGGCCGAGUCUCUCGCCACAAUUACCUCCGAAAAGGCUUUGGACUUUAUCUUAAAAAAUAUCAUUUGCCGUUAUGGGCUUCCGAGGAAGAUAGUCUUCGACAACGGAUUGCAGUUCGACAGUGAAGUGUUCACAGACUUCUGUCAAUGACAUGGUGUCAUCAAGAGCUUCUCUUUCAUAGCCCAUUCGCAGGCCAAUGGUCAAGUGGAAGCAGUGAACAAGACAAUCAAGUCUACUCUGAAGAAAAGGCUGGAGCAGGCAAAAAGAGCUUGGCUCGAGGAGCUGCCUAGGGAUUUGUGGAGCUACCACACCACUACUCGAACCUCCACCGGCCAUUCUACCUUCUCGAUGACCUACGGGUACGAGGCUAUGCUCUUGGUUGAAGCAUCAAUCUCCACGCACCAAUGGGAUACAUAUAAUCCGACCACGAACCAUGCCUUACUUCGAGAGUCCCUGUACCUCGUGGAGGAGCUACGCGAAGCUUCUCAGCUAUGAGUAGUAUCCUACCAGCAAAAGGUGGCCAGAUAUUUCAACUCCAAUGUGAAAGAUAGAAAAUUCGGUGUUGGAGACCUGGUGUUGCGAAUAAUCUUCUUAGCCACCCGAGAUCCAGGUGCAGGAGUGCUGGGGCCCAACUGGGAGGGCCCAUACCAAGUCGAGAGCAUUAUAUGUCCGGGAACAUAUAAAUUAGCUCGACUUAAUGGGGAGCUGAUUCCUCAUGCUUGGAAUGCCGAGCAUCUUCGUUGGUAUUACCUGUAGCUUCCUCAACAAAGAGUUUAUUUAUGUAAUACCCCCGUAGCCUUCGGGCACAUAUAAUGGAAACCGUGUAUAUAAAACAAGAUAAGAAAUUUGUUUGCUUUGCUUAUGUUCUUUACUUUCCGUUAUAAUCUAUUAAUGUUGUGUAAAGAGCACCUGCUCGCCUGGACAAGUGAUCAGAGAAGUCUCUGAUCACUUGGGGAGCAUGGAGUUAGGGCAGCACCGUGUCUCGCAAGGAACGACCUAGGAAACUAAACUUGUAAAUAGCCAAGAGGAGUAAGCCUAGCAUCGCCAUCUCAAGAAUAUAAAGUCUUAGGAAGCUAAUAAAGUUUAGCCUAGAAGGUAGCUUGUUCGAGGCAGAACUAAGCUUAGUACCUAAGAGUUAGAUAACCCAAGUAGCGCGAGAUUAGACUAUUGUCAUUAGUAAGAGACUCCUCAGGGAAUAAUCUAGGUAUCUGCUGAUGGAGAAGUUAACUUUUUGCUUGAUUGUUGCCUCUCGGAAGCUAAGACCCUACUUCCAAGCGCAUCCAAUUAAGUUCCUCAUGAACCACCACUUAGACAAGUCCUUUAGAAGCCUGAGUCAUCGGGAAGACUCUUGAAGUGGUCGGUGAGUUAAGUUAGUUCGACAUCACCUACCACCCGAGGACUGCCAUAAAAGGUCAAGUACUCGCCGAUUUCAUCACCGAGUGCACCGGGAGUAAGGAGAGUGCUUGACCUUUUAUGACAUUCCUCGGGUGGUAGGUGAUGUCGAAUUGACUUAACUCCACUGACCACUUCAAGAGCCUUCUCGAUGACUCAGGCUUCUGAAGGACUUGUCUCAGUGGGUAGUUCGUGAGGACCUUAAUUGGAUGCGCCUGGAAGUAGGGUCUUAGCUUCCGAGAGGCAACCGUCAAGCCAAAGGUUAACUUCUUCAUCAGCAGAUACCUAGAUUCUGCCCCGAGGACUCGAGAUUGACCUCGCUUGCUGAUGUGACCCCUUCUCAAGCAAAAUGUUGACUGCCUUUCAACCUUAAUAAGAGAGAUUAAAGAAAUGAACUAUAAGGAUGCAAGGAUUUUUACUUGCUUUAGGUUAUAAAAGAACCCUAGUCCACAAGUCUUUGGUAUUAAGAUGGUUGAGCUUGUGGUUGCAAGCUUCAGUAGUGUAUUCUCAUGUAGCGUUUAGAUUGCUCUAAGUACAAAUAGUUUUUCCUCUAAAAAAUUGAACCCUUUACAAUGAGACUUCAAACCCUAUUUAUAGAGGCUGGGGUCACUAAUAUUAAUCAUAAGUAAUUAAUACACAUUCUUCCCAUAAUUGGGGGAUUGAUACACUUCAAUGCACUGGGCUGCAUUGAAUAGAGACCACGAACCAAACGAGAUUUGCAGGACCCACUGCAGAAGGGUAACCACUUUACGAGGAACAUGCCCCCGGGACUGUCAGGGCAUGCUGUACGUACUUCUAUGUAGUGGGAGUGCGAAUUGUCGAGUCAUACCAUCGAUAACAUUUUAGGCAGAUCGCCCAAAAAAGGUUGUCAAGUCUUCCUCUGAGGCAGCUAAUCUGCAUUGGCUGACACCUGGCCUAUCCCUAAGAUUCCGAGGACUAAGUCCUCGUCCUGGAAUAUAGCUGAGGGCAAGGAAAGACGUGGACUACCAAGCAUCCCCAGGAGGUAACCUUAUGAAGGCAUCCACAGCUCUCGGGACAUGGCUUAGGAGAGAUGUCGACACCUUCUCAUUAUCUAAGUAGGAUGACCUCCAACUGUGGGACUGACCUCCCGAGGACAUAUCCUUCGAGCAUUGCCUCAUAAAAAAGGCAUGUGUCUUACUCGAGAGAUCACGUGUUUUUGGGUGAAAACACAGACAACAAACUGUAUUUUUUUUUGCAGAUGCCAAAGUUUCUUUUUCCCUUGACAGAUCACUUUCCCCGUCGAGUCACAUAUAGGGGUAAUGGUUACUUUAAAACAAUCAAGGACAAGUUUGAGGAGCUCGGGUUAAUUAAAAGGGUGAAGGAAUCCCCUUUCAAACAAUUUUUCAUGGCUGAGAAGUUAGACUUCUAAACAUCUCUUAUACAUCAAUUAAUGUUGCGCAAGAUCCAGUGCAACAAAGAGGAUGAGUUGCAUUUCCAAUUGGGAUCUAGACCCUGUAGAUUUGAUAGAGGCGAGUUUUCUUUGGUUACGGGGUUGAACUUUAGUGCUGGGCCAUCUGGAACUGAUUUAAAGAAACACUUGACUACUGACCGCUUAAUCAAGGAGUACUUUAAUGAUGAGAAAUAGUGAAGAUAAUGCAUUUGGAGGCUACUUUAAAAAACUGCAUUGUAGUUGAAGAUGCCUACAAGUUGGGCCUAUGUUUCUUUGUUGAGGGGGUUUUACUUGCGCGAGAGGGCAACUUAAAUGUCUGGAUAGAUUCGCUGAAGAUGGUGGAGGACAUUGGGUACUUCUUUACUUACCCACGGGGGAAGGUGUCUUUCAACAAGCUUAUGGAUGCAUGUCAAAAAGACACACAUCAUCAGAAGAUGAAUUAUGAGAAGAAGAAGGAAGUUAAGGGGAAACAGAAAGAAGCAAAAUACAGUUUGUAUGGUUAUGUCCCUGCAUUGGAGUAUUGGGCAUAUGAGGUCAUCCAGCAGUUUGCAUGUGAGUAUUCUAUUAACCAUGGAAACCUCUUUCCGAGGAUGCUCAGUUGGUUGAGCAAUACGGAGCGCCCUAUUUCAAAGGCCGACUUUGCACUGAUGUUCAAGAAGACGAGUUUGCUUGUGUUUUCCAUGUUGAAGCCCCGGCCUUCGGAGAUAGAUUAUUAUAGCGCUCUAACUCAGGGUGAUGCUCCCUUGUAUCCUGGCUUAGGCCAAGAAGAAGAGGAUGAAACUCCCACUGAUUUUGAGAAGGUGGUGGAGAUAGCUACUGAGGUUGCGAAGGCAACCAAUAUUUUUGUUGAUGUUGGCCCUGAUGAUGAAGAUACCCCAGUCCCCAUCGGCCCCAACCCCAUUGGUAGUUGCAGUCCCAGCUCCUGGUCAACUUGAUUUACAAGAGGUGUUGGAGAGGUUGGAGCAAGUCGAGAGUUGUCAGGAUACCGUCCUACAGAACCAGGUAGUCAUCAUGGAUGUUGUCAAUAGGAUCUUGACAUUUGUACAAGAUCUUCGGAGAGACACGACGGAGAAUGAUUAUGAUUCUAACUCACUUGACCUACUAGAUGAUUAUGUCGUAAAUGACAUAGGCACUUCUCCGCCGAUAGUAAUCACACCCUAGGUGUUACUAUUAUAGAACUUGGGGAUGUUGCCAGGGUAGAGUUUGAAUUUUCCAAGAGGAAAAGACAAAAAAGCUAAAAAAUUUGAAGACUACACCGACCCAACCAGGAAGAAACCUCGUGUGGAUGUGAUCGAUGGCGUGCCAUUAGUCCUCGACCCUCUGAAUAAGCCACUUGCUAGACUAUACAGGACGGUCGGAGAGUGGUUGUUUGGUGAUAUUCCAAACAAGACGAAGAGGGAUGUCCAAACCGGGAUGCAUGGUCUGGGUUGGUUUCUGAUGCUGAAGACACCACAGUUUUGGCUCGAUGAUGGGCAUAUUGAUGCGGCCGAGCAUAUGCUACGUAGGUGUUGCCAUUUCUAUCCUAGGGCGUAUCGGCAAGAUGCCAUUGUGAUGAAUAUUAUGUUCUCACAAUGCCAAGGAAGAAGAUAGGAAAAGGUUUUUAUGGGAUUCAGAUGUGUUGUCAAUGAUUACGGGCAUUGACAAUCAAUUUCUAGCAUCGUGGAAAGGGAUAGACACUGUAUAUUGGUGUUAGAACUACCUUCAAGCGUAUUGGUUUGUAGUUGAAGCAUCCAUUUCUACUUGGACUCCGAAUGUUUAUGAUUCAGACGUGACAGUGAUAAGUAACAAACAACUGCAAUCCUUUAUGAAGUCAUGGUCUACUUUGUUCCCAUCACUGUUAUUACAAUCACAUCUUUUCAAGGACGACCCUCAGUUGACGAUUACACCUGGAGCUAAAAGAUGCAAAGAGUUCAAGGUGAACUGCAUGCCAGUUAAUUCAGUACCCCAAACCAAAGUCAGUUUAUGUUUCGUUCACAAUGGAGAUUGUGGUGUGUACGCCAUCAAGCACAUCGAGUACUUAUUGAGUAGGCUACCACUUCACACGAUCUGCGACGACAACAUGGAGUUGUUCAGAAACAAAUGGACAGUUGUUAUAUUUCUUUGCAUCGAGUACUUAAGGUAUCAGAAUGUUAGGCAUUGAACAUUCUCUUAUUGUUAUAUUUCUUUGCAUAAAAUUAAAGUUAUUAAAAAAAAUUGUGUAUUGAGCUUACAUUCAGCUUAGGAACAUGGAGUAGCAUCGAACAUAUAUCAAACAUGCAUCGAGCAAACACUGGCUGCCAUCGAGCAUGCAUCAAGCAUGCAAAUCAUUAACGACAAUUAGCAGUAAAAAUCCAAGCGUCGAGUAGUCGUCGAGCAUGCAUUGAGCUUGCAUCGAGCAUGCAUCGAGUUUUAUUCAUUAACGACAAUUAACACUAAAAAUUCAUUAAUGACAAUAAAAUACAGAAAAAAUAACCUAACUAAUCCAAUUUAAAUAAAAUACAACAAAAAUUAUACUCAGAUCCAAGCUUUACAUGAGGA